AGUAAGCAUCGCAGCCACAGUGCUGUGGCAAUCAUCACUGUGGCCAGCAGAGACUGGCCAUCCUACAGCUGCUCUGUGACUCAAAGACGACGGGCCAAAGUAAUCAGGAGACAUCAUACAUCCUCAGUAGGUCAUCAAGACAAGUUCUGCUACGAAGAGGAAGAGACGGGAGACGUGGUUGUUUGGACUAACACAGUGGUUGUCCUGAUACUGAGGCUGCUUCUCUUUAAAAUAAUCAUCUUUAACACUCUGAUGACCACAUAUGCUGUUAUUAAGUGAUGAUUGGAAAAGGAGGCCUGCAGAUGAACCAUGUGACCUUAAAAGGAAACAAACCAAGAGGAAAACUCUUUAUUGUCUGAAGUCACCGAGGGGGUUGGGCACAGUCCACUCUUGAAGUUAACUUUGAUAGAAUGUUUGUACGCUGUGUUUUGGACUUGAAUCUUGUAUUAAUGCUAAGUUAUCAGGAUCACUGAGCAGCGGGUCUCAAUGCUCUGAGUCUUUGGCGCGCCUUUCCUUACUGACAGCCAGGUGUUUGCAGACUGUGACAGUUGACGACAGAUUAUGUUUGUGAGGGCAGACCUGGUAUCUGAUCCAAACUUAACCUCAGACAGGUGGGUUAGCGCACAUUGUGCUAUGCAUAUGUUUGAGAAAAACUCUGUCUUACUUAUUUUUUCAACUUACUUGGAUUGUUGGGAAGACUUAAGUCAAGAUUGUUGGUAGUUUACAAAAAGAAACAAUUAGCUUGAAUGAGACAUAAAUAAACAGAAA